rnacentral:rRNA from 1 species
CCUACGGGAGGCAGCAGUGGGGAAUAUUGGACAAUGGGGGCAACCCUGAUCCAGCCAUGCCGCGUGUGUGAAGAAGGCCCUCGGGUUGUAAAGCACUUUCAGUGAGGAAGAACGCCUGGUGGUUAAUACCCAUCAGGAAAGACAUCACUCACAGAAGAAGCACCGGCUAACUCCGUGCCAGCAGCCGCGGUAAUACGGAGGGUGCGAGCGUUAAUCGGAAUUACUGGGCGUAAAGCGCGCGUAGGUGGCUUGAUAAGCCGGUUGUGAAAGCCCCGGGCUCAACCUGGGAACGGCAUCCGGAACUGUCAAGCUAGAGUGCAGGAGAGGAAGGUAGAAUUCCCGGUGUAGCGGUGAAAUGCGUAGGGAUCGGGCGGAAUACCAGUGGCGAAGGCGGCCUUCUGGACUGACACUGACACUGAGGUGCGAAAGCGUGGGUAGCAAACAGGAUUAGAUACCCGAGUAGUC